rnacentral:lncRNA from 1 species
CGGACCUGCUUUCCAAUUCGACAGUUACCAGAUGUGCUUCUGCUACCUUUCUAGGAACCUAUCUGUGCUCCGUAGCCAGUGGAUCCUAGUUUUGAAAACAUGUCACCAACUGAACAAAAAUCGAGCAAGAAAAACGUCAGAGAAUAGGACAGUCUGUCAGUUGAUUUCGUGAAGCUUUGGAGCUGUCGUAACUACCCAGACCUUGAAUUCUCAUCUAGAGGGCUGCCAGCAAUAACUUCGCCUGAGCUGUGAUGCCUCAUGAUUUUCUGGACUUACUCUUAUAUCUGCACGGAAGGG